AUUGAACGCUGGCGGCAGGCCUAACACAUGCAAGUCGAACGAGUGGCGGAUGGGUGAGUAAUGUCUGGGAAACUGCUCGAUGGAGGGGGAUAACGACUGGAAACGGUAGCUAAUACCGCAUACAACUGGACGUGCGUCGAUGGGAUUAGUUAGUGGGGGGGGUAACGGCUCACCUAGGCGACGAUCCCUAGCUGGUCUGAGAGGAUGACAAGCCACACUGGAACUGAGACACGGUCCAGACUCCUACGGGAGGCAGCAGUGGGGAAUAUUGCACAAUGGGCGCAAGCCUGAUGCAGCCAUGCCGCGUGUAUGAAGAAGGCCUUCGGGUUGUAAAGUACUUUCAGCGAGGAGGCGUUACUCGCAGAAGAAGCACCGGCUAACUCCGUGCCAGCAGCCGCGGUAAUUC
rnacentral:rRNA from 1 species